rnacentral:tRNA from 1 species
GCGUUGGUGGUAUAGUGGUGAGCAUAGCUGCCUUCCAAGUAGAUGACUCAGGUUCUAUUCCCAGCCCAUGCA